rnacentral:rRNA from 1 species
CGGUUGNUCCUGCCGGNAGGUCACUGCUAUUGGGAUUCGACUAAGCCAUGCGAGUCGAGAGGGUUCGGCCCUCGGCAGACGGCUCAGUAACACGUGGAUAAUCUGNCCUUNAGGUGGAGGAUAAUCUCGGGAAACUGAGAAUAAUACUCCAUAGGUCUAGACUGCUGGAAUGCAUUUAGGCUAAAAGCUCCGGCGCCUAAGGAUGAGUCUGCGGACUAUCAGGCUGUAGUCAGGGUAAAGACCUGACUAACNUACGACGGAUACGGGUUGUGAGAGCAAUAACCCGGAGACGAUAUCUGAGACACGAUAUCGGGCCNUACGGGGCGCAGCAGGCGCGAAACCUUCACACUGUGCGAAAGCGCGAUGAGGGAAUCCCAAGUGCUUGCACGUAAGUGUAAGCUGUUUUUGUGUAUAAAAAGCAUAGAGAGUAAGAGCUGGGUAAGACGGGUGCCAGCCGCCGCGGUAAUACCUGCAGCUCAAGUAGUGACCACUAUUAUUGGGCCUAAAACGUUCGUAGCCGGUUUGGUAAAUGCCUGGGUAAAUCGAGCCGCUUAACGGUUCGACUUCCGGGUAGACUGCUAAACUUGAGACCGGGAGAGGCUAGAGGUACUCCUGGGGUAGAGGUGAAAUUCUGUAAUCCUGGGGGGACCACCAGUGGCGAAGGCGUCUAGCUAGAACGGGUCUGACGGUGAGGGACGAAGCCCUGGGGCGCAAACCGGAUUAGAUACCCGGGUAGUCCAGGGUGUAAACGCUGCUUGCUUGAUGUUAGUUGGGCUCUGAGCCCGAUUAGUGUCGGAGAGAAGUUGUUAAGCAAGCUGCCUGGGAAGUACGGUCGCAAGGCUGAAACUUAAAGGAAUUGGCGGGGGAGCAC